CCUACGGGAGGCAGCAGUGAGGAAUAUUGGUCAAUGGGCGCGAGCCUGAACCAGCCAAGUCGCGUGAGGGAAGACGGUCCUAUGGAUUGUAAACCUCUUUUGUCGGGGAGCAAAAGACGCCACGUGUGGCGUUCCGAGAGUACCCGAAGAAAAAGCAUCGGCUAACUCCGUGCCAGCAGCCGCGGUAAUACGGAGGAUGCGAGCGUUAUCCGGAUUUAUUGGGUGUAAAGGGUGCGCAGGAGGAAGAUGAAGUCAGCGGUAAAAUUGAGAGGCUCAACCUCUUCGAGCCGUUGAAACUGGUUGUCUUGAGUGAGCGAGAAGUAUGCGGAAUGCGUGGUGUAGCGGUGAAAUGCAUAGAUAUCACGCGGAACUCCGAUUGCGAAGGCAGCAUACCGGCGCUCAACUGACGCUCAUGCACGAAAGUGUGGGUAUCGAACAGGAUUAGAUACCCCAGUAGUC
rnacentral:rRNA from 1 species